UGUCAAUCACAGACUCUAUAAAUUGCGAAAUUAAUUGCACAUCAGACCAUAAUUCUUCUGGAAGCACAAAAGCACAACUAAUCUAUCAAGGACCGCUUUGCAGUAAAGAAGCUUAAAGAAUGGCCAAGAAAAUUCUGUUGAUGUUGGUAUUGUGCCUGGCCUCGGUUUUCCUGUCGAAUGGCGUGGAAGUCAAGACCAGGGCAAGUCCAUGCAGUUGCGGUGGGAGGACAGGAGGGGAUCUUUGGUUUUGGAGAGGUUCCUGCCCGGGUGGAUAUGGCUACACACAUUCUUGCCAACUUCCCUUCAAUAUUUGCUGUUUCCCAAGAACUUAAUAACAGGUUAUAGAUAAACUGAAGCUAACUAGAAGCUUAGUAAUUCAAAAAAAUGAUAAAUUGGUCAAACGAAUAGUGAUUAAGUGAAGAUUAAAACUUAAAAGUCUUCAGAGUGUUAACUUCGAGGUAAGCAUGUUGUAAUCAUGAGCAAAUGAACUACAAAUAAAAUCACAGGAACUCAAAGA